AAUAAUCAAUAAUUUUGGCUUGUCCAUCAUUAUCUAUUUACUGUGAAACGUAUUAUUACUUGACGUUUGAGGGAUGUUCCAUUGCUAUAAGGAUAGGCAGUGGAAAUGUUAACCGAGUCAUAAUCAAGCUUAGGCUUGGUAUCCUAUUAUUAUUUACCAAAAGAAUUCAGAAUUAAUAUUGUAACAUAGACGUAAAAAAUCUAUAAAA
rnacentral:misc_RNA from 1 species